rnacentral:rRNA from 1 species
GAUGAACGCUAGCUACAGGCCUAACACAUGCAAGUCGAGGGGCAGCGGGAAUUAAGCUUGCUUAGUUUGCCGGCGACCGGCGCACGGGUGCGUAACGCGUAUCGAACCUGCCUCAUACUGGGGGAUAGCCUUGCGAAAGCAAGAUUAAUACCCCAUGGUUCCGGUCCUUCGCAUGGAGGUCCGUAUAAAGAUUUAUCGGUAUGAGAUGGCGAUGCGUCCCAUUAGCUUGUUGGCGGGGUAACGGCCCACCAAACCUACGAUGGAUAGGGGUUCUGAGAGGAAGGUCCCCCACAUUGGAACUGAGACACGGUCCAAACUCCUACGGGAGGCAGCAGUGAGGAAUAUUGGUCAAUGGGCGAGAGCCUGAACCAGCCAAGUAGCGUGAAGGAUGACGGCCCUACGGGUUGUAAACUUCUUUUGUGCGGGAAUAAAGGAGCCUACGUGUAGGCUUUUGCAUGUACCGUAACGAAUAAGCAUCGGCUAACUCCGUGCCAGCAGCCGCGGUAAUACGGAGGAUGCGAGCGUUAUCCGGAUUUAUUGGGUUUAAAGGGAGCGUAGACGGGUUUUUAAGUCAGCUGUGAAAGUUUGGGGCUCAACCUUAAAAUUGCAGUUGAAACUGGAGACCUUGAGUACGGUUGAGGCAGGCGGAAUUCGUGGUGUAGCGGUGAAAUGCUUAGAUAUCACGAAGAACCCCGAUUGCGAAGGCAGCCUGCUAGCCGCCACUGACGUUGAGGCUCGAAAGUGCGGGUAUCAAACAGG